ensembl:lncRNA
UGGUUCUGCAACUCCCCAGAGUUCAACCAGCUCCUUCUAAAAGGCCUCUUUUAGUUUCCUUUCCAUGAAUGAAGAGUCCCAAAUGGUUUCCUGUCUGCUCCAGAGGUGUACUCAUUCAAAAGCAGAGUUGGAGAGAAAGUCAACUGUAUUAUUUAUACUAUAGAUAAGUAUAUCUUUUUUUGUGUGUUCGCGGUAACAUAAGAAGUGCGCUUUGCGCCUCAAAUAUUUUGUGUAUGGAAUGUUUUGUGUAUGGAAUGUUUUGUGUAUGGAAUGUUUUGUGUAUGGAAUGUUUUGUGUAUGGAAUGUUUUGUGUAUGGAAUGUUUUGUGUAUGGAUUUUUAUAGCAGGGCACCUCUUAAAGGGGUUAUCUCUUGGGUUGCCAUGAAGUGGAUGCAGAUGAUAUACCUGAAGGAGGUGAAGUGAUUGGUGAACGUUGACUGACCUGUAUAGUGGAUGGAGUAAGGAAACCCACUUCGUCCAUGGUAUUGUUUUUUGAUGAGUCAGGCUUUAUGAGAUAACCUGUAAGAGUUUUUGUGCAUGAGAAUAUCGUAUGCCAGUUGAGGUUAUAUGCUGCAACUGUGGUGGUGAGCAUGCACCUGAGUCCCUGGAUAGCCUUGUUAGUGUGAAGGAGACAGAGGUUGUUUGGAGCUGGUGAGAAGAGUGGAAGAAGCGAGUGGCGUUGAAGGCACAAUGGUAAUUGAGACUGCACCAAUGAUUGUUUUUUUUCCUCAGCAAUUUGAGGAUCCUGAUAUAUUUAAUGAUGGUAUUUAUGAAUAGACAAAGACAUCAAUCACGUGACACCAUUCAUUCCUAUGUGAAAACUUAAUAGCACAUUGAAGCCAAAUUAAGUCAGUUAAGAUGGCGUCUCAUGGAGAAAUAACAUGCAGCAGUUUGAGCUACUCCAGGAAGUGAUGUUCCAGGCUGGCUCUGUGCUGCCUCCUCUCAUUGAGUAAUGUUGCUUUCAAGACAACUGGGAACUCAAAAAAGGCUGGAAAGUCUGAGAUCUAGAAAGAUGCCAGAGUUUCCGACUUGGAAUUCAGAGUUUUUUCCCCACUCAGAGCUAGUUUUUUUUCCAAGUUCCCAGUUGCCUUGAACACACUGAUGUCGGAAGUUUCCGAUUUCAGAGUUUCCAGUCGUUUUGGACAUGGCAUACAUAACUCAAGUUGAAGGCCGUCCGGGGUGAUGCAGGCUGCCAUUAGCAACUAAAUUAUCCUUAUAACUUCUUCUGUGUGUAAUUCUAAAAUAAUCGGUUCAAAGACAUACAUCGGGUGUAUUACUGGUACCACGAGUGUCCUCUAAACAUUUUUUUACUCGAAGAUUGACAUUUUUCCAUUCACUAUUUUGGGCGAUCCUGUUUUCUGCUAACAAUGCAUGCAGUACCACGGUCGGCCUUGAACUUCCGUGAGCAUUUAUUGCAAUGCUCAUAAACUGCACAGCACAAAAGAAGAAACAACCGGAGAAAAUUUGCAGCAGAACGCUUUUUGGGUUGAGCCUGUGUAGGGAUGUCUUGAAUUGGAAUGUGACUGAAGGAGUGGAAUGUUUAUGAAUGUCUUUAUUUUUGUAUUUUGGGUGAUGUCGUUUUUUCGCCCCUUUCAUACAAUUGGUAUGUUUUCUAUAGUUUUACCACCCGUACAGUAGGUGGCAGAAUGCACCUCUAACACUUAUUUCCAGACGCCCUAAUACCAUAGAAGAAGAAGAAUUUAAAGCACACUUUACGAUUAGAUUGAAAAACUCGGGGAUAUUAUUACAAAUAUUGCCGCGUAAGUACGUCGGCAGAUUGAGUUGUCAUGUUCGUGAGGAAGACAUCCAUAUGUUUUUUAGUGGUGACUGGAGGUUGGUCUGAAGAAUGAGUAAGUUAAAGGUGUUAGCUAGCUAACAUGGGCGAAAUGGCGACUGCUGACUAGUAGCUAGAUUGUCAGCUGUUGUUGAUAUUUAGCCAACACAGUAGACCUACUGACCCGUCGUCAGCACUGCUCGUUCUCGCUCAUGCACGAUCUAGUGUUACAGGUACGGCUUUGUGGAGUACGAGUCAUCAUUGAGCACGCUCGUGGUCCACGCAGGGGCCGUGGUGGUGGGGGUUAUAAGAGCGGAGCUGGACGUAACGGUAGUGGUUACAGCAGCCGAAGCCCCACUGGCUAGGAUACGUAUUGGCCACCUGUACGCACAGAGGACCGCCUUAUUGUGGACAGCCUCUCCAGUCGCUGCAGCUGGCAGGACCUAAAGGACUUCAUGCGCCAAGCUGGUUGAGGUGACAUAUGCCGACACUCAUAAGGAGUGGCCCAACGAGGGGGUGAUUGAGUUCUGCUCCCGCUCAGACAUGAGGGCCCUGGACAUGCUGGAUGGCACCAAAAUCAACGGGAGGAAGAUCUGCCUGGUGGAGGACAAGCCUUGCCACUGACGCUCCUACUCUGGCAGCUGCUCCUGGUCAGGAUAGUCCUGGGCCUACCACAUAAGGCAGCCGUUGGGUCCUUAUGGCCCUCCUGUUAUAAGUGGUGAUAUGUUUAAUUUGCUGUUUUUCUAGUACCAAAGCUGAUUAGUUAUCCAGGCUUACAAUGUGUUUGAUCUCCCAGGUCUCAUAGCAGACGUCACUUUCGCAGCAGGAGCAGAAGUUUUGGCAGCCACUCCAGGUCUCACUUACGGUCACACUCGUAGUAUACACCGCUCUCGAUCCAGGUCCAACCAGAAAUCACGUUCUAGAUCCGGGAAUUCCCACCUCUCCAAGUCACUCAAAUCCCGUUCCAAGUCCCGCUCACGUUCUCGCACCAGGAAGUCAUGUUCUCACUCCCACAAGUCUCGUAGCUGCUCAGUGAGCCUCAAAUCCAGCUCUCACUCCGACGCCCGUAUGUCUCGCUCCAAGAGCUAGUCUAAAGUCUAGUCUGAGCAGGAAUCCAGAAGCCACUCCAAAGAGAAGUCUGUCAGCAAGAAGUCCUAGAGUCGCUCCCCGACCCCCACAGAGAAUGGAAACAGAGCGUGCCCAGUCCACCUACAAGUCUCCCUCCCCACAAGAAGACCAUCCCAAAUCGAAGUACCCCGCCAUGCACUCAGUCUCUCGCUCCCCCUCAUGCUCUAAAUCCUUCUCCUGCUCCCGAUCCAGGUUGACCUCCAAAAUGUAAUUGCACUUGUUUUAGUAGGAAGUAUGGAAGAUGGUUUUAAAAUCAUUUACAAAUCGAAUGCAGUGUUUCAAUUUGCCCCAUUAUGAGCAUUUGGUUUUAUCGAAGUUGGGAAUGUAGUGCUUUUUAACAUUGUUUUUAACUUUGCAUGAGAACCAGGAUGAAAGAUUGUAGAUUGCUGUGGAACGCAUUGUAGAGGAAUUGUUCUCAAUUUCCUUAUCUGUAUGAGAUUGCUUAUGCUUCAUGUUAUAGGUACUGGUUGAUGUUUGUUUCAAGAGGAAAUUAUUGAUUCUUAUUUGUAAUCUCUUCCUCGCCAUCUUCUGCAUUGCUUUGAAACUCUCCUUCCAGACCCACAUCAAACAUCUCCAAACAAUCCAAAGUUAAGUCUAGAAUUGGCUUCCUAUUUCGCAACAAAGCAUCCUUCACUCAUGCUGCCAAACAUACCCUUGUAAAACUGUCCAUCCUACCAAUCCUCGACUUCGGCGAUGUCAUUUACAAAAUAGCCUCCAAUACCCUACUCAACAAAUUGGAUGCAGUCUAUCACAGUGUCAUCCGUUUUGUCACCAAAGCCCUAUAUACUACCCACCAUUGCGACCUGUACGCUCUCGUUGGCUGGCCCUCGCUUCAUACUCGUCGCCAAACCCACUGGCUCCAUGUCAUCUACAAGACCCUGCUAGGUAAAGUCCCCCCUUAUCUCAGCUCGCUGGUCACCAUAGCAUCACCCACCUGUAGCACGCUCUCCAGCAGGUAUAUCUCUCUAGUCACCCCCAAAACCAAUUCUUUCUUUGGCUGCCUCUCCUUCCAGUUCUCUGCUGCCAAUGACUGGAACGAACUACAAAAAUCUCUGAAACUGGAAACACUUAUCUCCCUCACUAGCUUUAAGCACCAACUGUCAGAGCAGCUCACAGAUUACUGCACCUGUACAUAGCCCAUCUAUAAUUUAGCCCAAACAACUACCUCUUUCCCUACUGUAUUUAUUUGAUUUAUUUAGCUCCUUUGCGCCCCAUUAUUUUUAUUUCUACUUUGCACAUUCUUCCACUGCAAAUCUACAAUUCCAGUGUUUUACUUGCUAUAUUGUAUUUACUUUGCCACCAUGGCCUUUUUUUGCCUUUACCUCCCUUAUCUCACCUCAUUUGCUCACAUCGUAUAUAGACUUGUUUCUACUGUAUUAUUGACUGUAUGUUUGUUUUACUCCAUGUGUAACUCUGUUGUUGUAUGUGUCGAACUGCUUUGCUUCAUCUUGGCCAGGUCGCAAUUGUAAAUGAGAACUUGUUCUCAACUUGCCUACCUGGUUAAAUAAAGGUGAAAUAAAAUAAAUACAAAAUAAA